GCCUCUGAGGAUGAUCAAACUAAUAACUUUCGUUCUUCUGAAUUAACCGUUGUGGAAAAAUAUUGGAGACCUGAACUGAAGAGGC